rnacentral:rRNA from 1 species
UAGGGAAUCUUCCGCAAUGGACGCAAGUCUGACGGAGCAACGUCGCGUGAGUGAAGAAGGAUUUCGGUUCGUAAAACUCUGUUGUUAGAGAAGAACAGCGCAUAGAGUAACUGUUAUGCGUGUGACGGUAUCUAACCAGAAAGCCACGGCUAACUACGUGCCAGCAGCCGCGGUAAUACGUAGGUGGCAAGCGUUGUCCGGAUUUAUUGGGCGUAAAGCGAGCGCAGGCGGUCAAUUAAGUCUGAUGUGAAAGCCCCCGGCUCAACCGGGGAGGGUCUUUGGAAACGGGAUGACUUGGGUGCAGAAGGGGAGAGUGGAAUUCCAUGUGUAGCGGUGAAGUGCGUAGAUAUAUGGAGGAACACCAGUGGCGAAGGCGACUCUCUGGUCUGUAACUGACGCUGCGGCUCGAAAGCGUGGGUAGCAAACAGG